UCACCCGGUCUCUGGUGAGGGUCUGGGUGCGGUUCUUGUGGAUGAUCUUGAUAUACCCUGGAGGCUGCACCCAGGCUUCCCCGUCCACCUGCACCGGGACGCCCUCAUCGCCCAGGAUUUUGAUCUUCACUGUACGGCACUGAGAGUGAGACAGACAGCGUCAGGGAGUAGAACGGCGAGACAGACAGACAAACAGACAGACAGACAGGCAGGCAGGCAGGCAGGCAGGCAGGCAGGCAGACAGGCAGACAGACAGACAGGCAGACAGGCAGACAGGCAGGUGUACCUGUGUGAUGCGGUGAUGCUGCAGGUUGAUGACCCGGGACACGGCCAUCUGCAUGCUGCCAAACACGGCCACAACCUCAAGGAUCUUAUCAUCAAAGGACGGAGCUGUGAACAUCUGACAGACAGACAGACAGACAGGUGACAUCACUCAAUCAACAGAGAGACAGGUAACAUGACGGAGAGACAGACAGGUUCAGGUCUCACAUCAUCCUCUUUGGUUCCUCCCCAGAAGUUGGUUCCUCCUGCGUAGCUGGGGAUGUUCAACACAGCGAUGCCUUGAAGGCUGGGCAGAGGGAUGGGCCGCCCAUCACACUGUACACACACACACACACACACACACACAGACACACACACUUAUGGACAUAAAGAUGUUUGCGCACUCACGGUGAAGCUGUUGUUGACGUUCUUGGUGCUUGACUCCGCCACGCUGGCAUCCGUCAGGUCCACCUCGUCAAAGAUGAUCGACUGGAGACACAAAACUCUGACAUCAGCCCGCCAGCGUCAGAAGAAACCGCUUUUACUAAUGCUGAACCGAUCCUCCACCUUCUGCCUUAAACGUCUGCAGGCGGGACAGAGGCGGAUCCUGCACCUGCAGACUGGCUCACCUUUGAGGUCUGAGCAUAGUACAGCGUCCUCCCUCUCAGUUUGAAGUAUCUUCUUUUCCAGCGCUGGAAGGAGUUAGUCUGCUUCAUCAGAUUUCCUUCUCUCAGCACCGUCUGGAACGCAUUGUUCACAGUUAAUGAACUUUACACACACACUUGGUUAAACUGAACAAACUACUUUAGCUUUUUCUGUUACAACAGAACAAGGUUGCAGCAGAGAGAAAAACAUCCUGUGAUGAAGAGGUUCAGUCUCCUCCUGCAAAGGAUCAUUAAUGAUCAAAUCAGCACACAAAGGAAAAAAGGAGGAAAUAUACCUUUUAGAGAUCACUGAUCAUGUUUUUUUCACCGCUGAUACAAAUUAUUGAUCAUGAUGAUCCAUACUUCUGUUUCAUUACAGCAGCUGGUCUUAAAGGAGAGUUUAUACUACAUGAAAACUUGCAAUUCAAAUAAUAAGAGAGUACUGAACUGAGCUAUCGAUUGUUAGCUGCUACGGGUGCUGCUCACCUUAAAGGUAACAUGAUCAGAGAAUAGAAUCACCAGAUCGAUCAUCAGCAAAACUUUAUUUGAAACGUUCUUUUGGUUAACGUUAAACUGUCAUUAAUCUAAGGUUCAUGUGUCAGAUCCUAACAAUAAUGGACCCACUGUUUGAGCUAUUAACAAUACCAGUGGGAAACAGGAAAACGCUUCACGGCUGCGGGGUCCGGCUGUCACGCUCUACUUUCAAUAUUGCAACAUUUGAUUGGUAUUUAAUGGGAACGUACAAAGCCGGUUUCAGUCAUAUUCAUCUGAUCAAUUUCCAGUUUUUGAAACCUCUUAUGAUACACUUUAUCUAGAUAGCCCUGCUCUGGGACCCAGCAGGUUUAUAGUUAGGACAUGUGACCCUAAUUGUUGCACACUAUUUAACAUGUGCACUACAGUAAUGUCUCAUCGUCAUUGUAUGUUUUCUACAGGUGGGGGCAAAACAAAUCACUUCAUGUUGCGAUUAAGUAUUAAAUUAAAAAACAACUCAUGUCUCACUACAGAAGUCAAAACACUCUUUAUCAACCGUCUAAACUCUCCAUUACUAAAGCAGUAACCGGGAAAGAGACAAACGUCUCUGUCUCUGUGACGGUGGUCAUUUUAAUCUGAUUAACAAGCAGAAUUCCUUCAACUCAGCCACAGGUAUUUCCGAGCUUUUGACGUUUGCCUGAAGGCGGCAUCAUGUCGGUAGCGUCCCGGUGAAGUUUAAUCGAGUGAAACGGCGCUACGUGUCCUAAAUAAACCGUUAUGUUCCGUUAUCGUACAAACGAUAGUUCUUAUUCAACAUAAUACACCUGUAGGGACACCGAGGACCGUUAUGUCCAACAAUGCUGACACCGACCGGCUCCACCCUCCACCUCUACGGGUGGGCGGCGGCAGGAAACUCCGGGGCUUUCCACCGGGCCCGAGGCCAUUCGGCUAAUCGGUACAGCUAACGGUACCGGUGUCUGUCCGUUAACCGGUGCAAGUAAACGUGUUCCCCGGGACAGUGGACCUUGUGCUUUCAUGUAUUAAGUGUAUCUAAAUGCAUCACCUGAUUAUUAAUCAUUGAUUCUGGUUCUAGUCAUUUAAAGGUCCGUUAGCUUCGAAAAUAUACAAAACUUAUUUCAACGAUGAUCAACCGGGAGAACUAAUUUACACAUUUUGUAUUCAUCAUAAGUCGUGCGAUGUUAACUGUUCUUCAAAUAUAGAGCAGAAGCUAUGACCCAAACUCCACCUGACGUACGUCACAUUUUGAAGAAACAACGUUUAUUAGAAAAUAUGCUGGAAAUCGAAGGGCUUCAGGUGACGUCACAUCCGUUCUUUAAAUCGGCAUAAUCGAUCCCGUAAAGCGGCCCAGCUUCGGAUGGCGGGUCUGUUUAUUUACAUGUUUACUCCGCUCCACGUCGACUAGAGGAGCAUGAAGACGCGGAGAAAAGGGUGAAACGUGUAAUAAAGACAAAGUAUUAUGAACACAAGGGACGUUUAUGCCGAAUUAAAAAUCGGCCUCUUCGUUUUCACAAACAUUUGAACUGAUAUUACAUCUAAUUCGUCUCCUUCUGCUGGGAAAGUUUAACUGACGUUUUGUUAGGGGUUCGGUCUAUGGUCUCUGCGGGAGGAGAACGCUGAACUUCUGGACGAACCCGUGUCCGGUAACUACCGCCGCUGCUUUAGCCUCGUACCUUGCUGCGGAUCUGACCAGAAGUGGACACUUUUCGGAUGAGUUUCUGUGGUGUUCCGGGCUCCUGCUCCGGUUCACUGUCCGACGACUCGUCCGGGAACCGGGCCGGAGCAGACUCCGUUAAGUCCGCCAUCCUGUGCUCAGACCCCCGGGAGGAACUGGAGAGAGAGCGCCCCCCCGAGGCGGAGAGCGGGUACGCAGGGGCAACGCGGGGGACGCUGUUACGUCACCAAACACCAGGGAGGUCAUAAGGGGCGCGUUUGAUUCAUUAUAUACAUAUUAACUCGCUAACAGCCAAUAAUAAAUAAAAAAUCAGUGUAAUUUAUUUUAAAGUAUUGUUAUCAGAACAACAACAACAUCUGUGUGUUAUCAGAGAACAGCAGGAUGCAUAACGCAGCAUGUAAGUGAGGAAAGUGGACCAGCACCGUCUGUAAAGACUGGAUUUUCUUUGAAUCUCAAUCAAAGAUAAAAACACUUCCAGUGGUGCAGGUUGAGCAGUUACACAGUGACUAAAGUAACGUUUAACGUUCACUUUCCACACAAGAACUUAUCUUCUUCUGGACAACGUGACCAGCAGAGAACCACCUUGUUGUACUUCAUAUUGUGUGAGGCUCCUGGUACUUCAGGCUCCGGGU
ensembl:lncRNA